rnacentral:tRNA from 1 species
GUUCUUAUAGUUGAAGUACAACGAUGAUUUUUCAUGUCAUUGGUCGUGGGUAAGUCCAUGUAAGAAUA